AUGACGUCGCCUCUGACGGAGAUCCCGGACUACCUCCUGGCCGAGAUGUUCCUCCGCCUGCCCGACUCGGAAGACCUCGUCCGUGCGUCCACCGCCUGCGUCUCCUUCUACCGACUCGCCGGCGACGACUCCUUCCUCCGCAGAUUCCGUCGCCUCCACGUACCAUCAGUACUCGGAUUCCUCCAGGCAGGCGGCAUGUUCCGUCCCACCAUGCCGCCUCACCCCUUCGCGCCCGCCGCCCGCGCGGUCGCCCGCGCCGCCGACUUCUACUUCUCCUUCAUCCCCUCCCGUUGCCACUGGACCGUGCAGGACAUCCGUGACGGCCGCGUCCUCCUCGCCCGUGACCUCCGGCAAGAAGAGCGGGCCCUUGCACCGGUCUUCCGAGAUCUCACGGUGUGCGACCCCUUGCACCGGCGGUACGUCCUGCUUCCCCCGGUGACUGACGACCUAGCCGCUUCGCUUGAGCACCCGUUCCCCAUGGUACGCCCCGCCCGGUGCAAGCCCUUCCUCGUUCCCCUCAGCGAGGAGGAGGCAACAGCGGGAGAGACGGCAUUCAUGGUGAUCUUGGUGGCACAUUGCAUAACUAGUCUGGCUGCGUUCGUCUUCUCUUCCAACACGGGACAAUGGCAAGCUGCUGCAUCCAAGCGUUGGAGUGAUUUAGGCCUUGGCGAGCGCGACAUGGCCGAGAUGUCACAGGUCCACCCUUUUAUUCUCAGCCGCCAUUAUGCUUAUGGCUGCUUCUACUGGGACUGGGUGGAGUUCGGGAGGAAAAAGUUGCUCUUGCUUGACACCAGGAAGAUGGAGUUCUCCACUGCCGACCUCCCACCAGGAGAAUGGACCUAUGAAGGUAUAGCCAUUGUGGAGGCAGGGGAAGGCAGGCUUGGGAUCUUUGGUUUCCACUGUGAAACUCCAUCUGAUCUCAUUUAUACCGUUGCACGGAACAAAGGCGAGAGUCCCAGUCACUGGCAGAUGGAGAAGACAAUCUCACUAGAUUCUAGAUACAGAUAUUUUGUCAAAGAUAUAACACAGAGGUACUUGUUCUUAACGAGGAGAGAAGCCUCAUGUCUAUUUAAUGAAGUUGUUGGAUAUUUCUCAAUGGAUGUCAAGACAUUGCAGCUUCAGAGGGUUUAUCAGGAACAACACUAUUUUAUGAACGAGGCAUAUUCAUAUAUCAACUUCCCACCAUCAUUGUUGUCUUCAAGGAGAAUAUGA
rnacentral:rRNA from 1 species